AGCAUAUUAUUCAGCGGAGGAAAAGAAACUAACAAGGAUUCCCCUA
rnacentral:rRNA from 1 species